ensembl:lincRNA uncharacterized LOC106148768
ACUUCUCCAAGGUCUAUAAAACUUUAGUCCCUUAUUGUGCCACCUCACUGAAGUUUUAAGCUCUUUUGAAGAUUCAGAUAGAAGGUUUCUGCAAGCCUUGAUGGCGAGGUCCCAUGCCCUCUUGGCCUGGCUGAAUGAGUCCUCAGAGUUGCUAGAAGCUCCUGAGAACCAAAGCCUCUCAAUAUCAACCUUUACGCUCCUCACAAACUCCUCUCCACAGUUUCUGUCAAGAACCAGAAUGAACAUAAAGACAGCUCUGCUAAAAAGACCUGGCCAAAGACUUCAGCAGUCCCCUGUUGGUAGAAGAACUAAUAAUAAAUGCCAAUACUAUUGUAUGGCUACAUACAGUUCUGGGCCAAGUCACACAGGUGACAGUCUAGAUGGGAGUCUGACAUUCAGUCAGCAAACACACCGAUCCCAAGCCACGACAAGUCAACUGAGGAGCAAGUUUUUAAAAGAUUCUACAACUUUUGGAAGCAUCAGGAGCCAUAGAGUCAGGUGCCUUGGUGUGGUCCCAGUCCAUGGCUCACCAGCUAUGGUUCUCCAACAGGUGGGCAGCACAAUGGAAGAAGAAAAGCGUAAACAGUACACGGUCUCUCUCUAG